rfam:Marinomonas mediterranea MMB-1, complete genome.
UGUUAUGGUGGGUCUAUUUUGGGCUAGCUUCGGCUAGGCCGUUCCUACGGGCGGUAGUACUAACCUGAUUUAGAUCCACCACCUUA